rnacentral:rRNA from 1 species
GAUGAACGCUGGCGGCGUGCCUAAUACAUGCAAGUCGAGCGAACAGAUGAGGAGCUUGCUCCUCUGACGUUAGCGGCGGACGGGUGAGUAACACGUGGAUAACCUACCUAUAAGACUGGGAUAACUUCGGGAAACCGGAGCUAAUACCGGAUAAUAUAUUGAACCGCAUGGUUCAAUAGUGAAAGACGGUUUUGCUGUCACUUAUAGAUGGAUCCGCGCCGCAUUAGCUAGUUGGUAAGGUAACGGCUUGCCAAGGCAACGAUGCGUAGCCGACCUGAGAGGGUGAUCGGCCACACUGGAACUGAGACACGGUCCAGACUCCUACGGGAGGCAGCAGUAGGGAAUCUUCCGCAAUGGGCGAAAGCCUGACGGAGCAACGCCGCGUGAGUGAUGAAGGUCUUCGGAUCGUAAAACUCUGUUAUUAGGGAAGAACAAAUGUGUAAGUAACUGUGCACGUCUUGACGGUACCUAAUCAGAAAGCCACGGCUAACUACGUG